rnacentral:rRNA from 1 species
AGAGUUUGAUCCUGGCUCAGGACGAACGCUGGCGGUGUGCUUCACACAUGCAAGUCGAGCGAAUGAAGUAGGUAGCUUGCUACUUAUGGAUUUAGCGGCGGACGGGUGAGUAAUAUAUAGGAAUCUGCCUUAGAGCGGGGAACAACAGACCGAAAGGUUUGCUAAUGCCCCAUAGGUAUGCAGUCUUCGGAUUGUAUAUUAAAGGAGUAAUCCACUCUAAGAUGAGCCUGUAUCCGAUUAGCUAGUUGGUAGAGUAAAAGCCUACCAAGGCGACGAUCGGUAGCUGGUCUGAGAGGAUGAUCAGCCGCAAUGGGACUGAGACACGGCCCAUACUCCUACGGGAGGCAGCAGUGGGGAAUUUUACGCAAUGGGCGAAAGCCUGACGUAGCGACACCGCGUGAGCGAAGAAGCCCCUUGGGGUGUAAAGCUCUGUCAGCUGGAACGAAAAAAAUGACGGUACCAGCAGAGGAAGCAUCGGCUAACUACGUGCCAGCAGCCGCGGUAAGACGUAGGAUGCAAGCGUUGUCCGGAUUUAUUGGGCGUAAAGAGUUCGUAGGCGGUUAUUUAAGUCUGGUGUUAAAUACUGUGGCUCAACCUCGGAAAUGCAUUGGAUACUGGCAGACUGGAGUGCAGUAGAGGCUAGUGGAAUUCCCAGUGUAGCGGUGAAAUGCGUAGA